rnacentral:tRNA from 2 species
GCCCGGAUGGCACAGUGGUUACUGCGCGGGAUUGCUAAUCCCGUUUCCCUUGUGGAUUCGCAGGUUCGAAUCCUGCUCCGGGCG